GUAUUGAUUGCGUGUGAUCGCAAAAAUGAACAUUCUACACUGUAUCGAGUUUUAUGUGAAAACGCAGGCCCUCCCACAAAGGGGAGGACCCACGCGGUGAUGCACAAAGGGGUAAGAUGGAUAUUUGUAUGUGAGAGGACUCGGGCGUGCACGACAAAAAAAAGCCAGCGACAACCCUCGUACCCCCAUUGUACGAUAAUGAUCCUUCCGCAGGUUCACCUACGGAAA
rnacentral:misc_RNA from 1 species